UACGGUGGGAGCAAGCGUUGUUCGGAUUUACUGGGCGUAAAGGGCGCGUAGGCGGCCACUGCAAGUCAGUUGUGAAAUCUCCGGGCUUAACCCGGAAAGGUCAACUGAUACUGCAGGGCUAGAGUGCAGAAGGGGCAACUGGAAUUCUCGGUGUAGCGGUGAAAUGCGUAGAUAUCGAGAGGAACACCUGCGGCGAAGGCGGGUUGCUGGGCUGACACUGACGCUGAUGUGCGAAAGCCAGGGGAGCGAACGGG
rnacentral:rRNA from 1 species